AGUGAACGCUGGCGGUAGGCCUAACACAUGCAAGUCGAACGGCAGCACAGUAAGAGCUUGCUCUUACGGGUGGCGAGUGGCGGACGGGUGAGGAAUACAUCGGAAUCUACUUUUUCGUGGGGGAUAACGUAGGGAAACUUACGCUAAUACCGCAUACGACCUACGGGUGAAAGCAGGGGAUCUUCGCACCUUGCGCGAUUGAAUGAGCCGAUGUCGGAUUAGCUAGUUGGCGGGGUAAAGGCCCACCAAGGCGACGAUCCGUAGCUGGCCUGAGAGGAUGAUAAGCCACACUGGAACUGAGACACGGUCCAGACUCCUACGGGAGGCAGCAGUGGGGAAUAUUGGACAAUGGGCGCAAGCCUGAUCCAGCCAUACCGCGUGGGUGAAGAAGGCCUUCGGGUUGUAAAGCCCUUUUGUUGGGAAAGAAAAGCAGCAGGUUAAUACCCCGCUGUUCUGACGGUACCCAAAGAAUAAGCACCGGCUAACUUCGUG
rnacentral:rRNA from 1 species